GUCCUCAUCGUCUAGUCUGGUUAGGACGUUACAUUGUGGUGGUUACACGACAAUUUCUGUGGAGGCAGCUGUUCGAAUCAGCUUGGGGACA